CUUCAGCGAGCCCAGGUACAGCGGCCGGCCGGCCGGCCGGUCCUGACCGUAGGUCGCGAGGACGGCCUGGGCCUC
rnacentral:antisense_RNA from 1 species